rnacentral:lncRNA from 1 species
CACAAACCACAUCUGAAAGACAAGAAGGGCACUGACUAGGGAAAGGGCAGGCAGCAGGUAGGGGAGAGGAGCCAACCUUUGGUUUCACAUAUAACUCAACACCACCUAGAAAUCUGAGGGGCAAAUCUGACUGCACAAAGGAAUCUUUUGAGUCUGACCUUAGAUAGACAGGAUUUUUGCGGAUGAAAUUCAUUCUUUCAUAAUAAAGAUGUAGUAAUAGGAGCAUCUAUUGAGUAAUUUCCCAGAAACACAAGACUGAACCAGAACUAGUCAAAGAGAUUAGGCCAGUGACAAAACUCAUCUAAGCAGAAAUGCUAAGAUUUUUUUUUUUUGAUGCUGGGGAUCGAACCCAGGGCCUUACACAUGUAAGGCAAGCACUCUACCAACUGAUCUAUAACCCCAGCCCCAGAAAUGCUAAGAUUUUUAAUUGUCAAAGUGCAUCCUGGUAGAAUGUAGCAUUCCCAGAAAAGGUCACUGUAGAAGCCUGGAGAAAAAGCAGUACAUUAGGGGCUGUGGCUGUGGCUCAGUGGUAGAGUGCUUUCCUAGCAUGUGUGAGGCACUGGGUUUGAUCCUCAGCACCUCAUAAAAAUAAGCAAAAUAAAAUAAAGCAUGCUGUUCAUCUACAACUACCAAAAAACAUUUUAAAAAAAGCAAUACAUUGGAUUUUGUUCUAAGUCCUUUGUAGACGUUUGUGAAAGAAGUAAUCGGGUGAGAUUACUUCUUUCAGAUAUUUUCUGAGCUCCUACUAUGUGCCAGGCAUGAUUUUUAGGCACUAGGGCUCCAUCUGUAAACAUCACACCUUGCUUUCAUGAGCUGACAUUCUAGUGGCAAGAGCAAUAACCAAACCAAAACAUAAUACGAUACCAAGUAGUGAUAAGUUCUGGAAGACAAGUCAGGCUGGGCGAGGUUAUGCAGGCUACUAUAAGUACCUUGUCUGGUAUGGAGACCCUUAAAUAGAAACUCGCAAGAAGAGAAAGUGUGAGGCCCAAGGUACCUGGGGGAAGCUUGAUCCAGGUAGCAGGAACAACCAUAGCAAAAACUCUGGGGCAAGAGACUCAAUGUGUUUAAGGACCAGUAAGAAGGCCUGUGUGAAUGAAGUGAAUUCAAACCUAUGACUGGGAGUCUCAAAAGUGACUGUAAGCAUGCUGAGUAUAACUGCAUAAGAUGAUAGCAAACAAGGCAGUUUCAGAAAGGCUAAAGAUUCACAAAUGUUGCACACUCAUACAUAUGGCUUUCAAAUUCAAGUCAGCUACAUUCAUAGGAGGUCGUUAAUUGGAAGGAAUUGCCACCUUGAACCCCAAAGUGUUUGUAACCUAACAAACUUUGAGCUCUUUACCCAAAUCCUUCAUUUUUCGGAUCCUAUCCUGAGCACUAUUGUCAUGGAGGGCAAGGAUGGCUGUCCAAGCUGACUAGCCAACCGGUGGAGUUGGGGAGAAGCCAGAUCACUAAGACCUGCUGCUCAUUCCUUGUGUAAAUGGAAGUAGCAGCACUCGGAUCACAUGGGCCCUCUUGUUCAUUGCCUCUUCAUCCUGGUGGUGGGGACAAUACCCACUGGGAGGGAUAAAAGGGAAUAAAAGCCAAAACUUUUAAAGUCGGUGAGAUUAAGAAGCCUAUCUGAUUUUUAAAAACAGCUCAUUGGUGUAGGCCGAGAUUCAGCACAUUAAAAAUCAAACACCAGUUGGCCCUCUCUGUGCACAGCUCUACAUCCAUGGAUUCAAUCAACCACCUGUUGAAAAUAUUUGAAAAAAUUGUGCCUGUAUUGAACAUGUACAGACUUUUUCCUUAUCUUUAUUCCUGGAACAAUGUAGUAUAAAAACUAUUUAAAUAGCAUUCACGUUGUUAAGCAUGAUAAGAAAUCUAGAGGUGAUUUAAAGUCUAUGAGAAGAUGUACAAAGGUUUUGUGCAAAUACUAUGUCACUUUGCAUAAGGAACUUGAGAGCAUCCUUGGAUUUUGGUGUCUACAGGGAGUUUGGUCUAUUCCCCACAGAUACUGUAAUAAACCAGUGUAAUAAAACACCAGAGUGGCUAAGUGCAAACCAACAGAUUGUUAUAAAAAUGUAUAUAAAAUGUAUGACAAUUCAGAUACAGAGUAGAAAUGUAGUGCUAAAAAUGUUUAUUCUAGGUGAUUUUAGAGAAUAUGUCUUCCUGGGAGGUAGGUUGGCAUCCCCAGUGGAACCAAGGCUGGAAAUGUAAGGGUGAUAAAGGGUUUGUCACUCAACCUCCAAUUCAGAUGGCCUCUUUGCAAAAGUAGGGUAAUAAUAGACAACAUCUCACAGGGUCUGGAUAAGGAUUAGAUGAAAUCAUUCACAUGAAACGUUUAGCUCAUUGCCCGACUUUGUAAAUGCUCCAUAACAUUAGCUGUUGUAAUUUUCCUCAUUUGACUAAGAGCCCGCAAGGCUGGGGACUAUUUUCUUGCUAGUCUUUGUUCCCUGCAGCACAUAGGGAACACUGAAGAAUAUUGCAGCAUCAAUGCCUGUCAGAAAUAGUUGAGGUUGGGAGGACUGGUCCUGAGGACCUGCUGCCCCGUUA